rnacentral:rRNA from 1 species
UACGAAGGGGGGCUAGCGUUGCUCGGAAUGACUGGGCGUAAAGGGCGCGUAGGCGGAUGGUACAGUCAGAUGUGAAAUUCCUGGGCUCAACCUGGGGGCUGCAUUUGAUACGUGCUGUCUUGAGUUCGGAAGAGGGUCGUGGAAUUCCCAGUGUAGAGGUGAAAUUCGUAGAUAUUGGGAAGAACACCGGUGGCGAAGGCGGCGACCUGGUCCGAUACUGACGCUGAGGCACGAAAGCGUGGGGAGCAAACAGG